rnacentral:tRNA from 1 species
AGGGAGUUAGUUUAAAAGAACAUAAGCCUGUCUAGCUUGAGGUGCACUGAGUAGUGUACUCCCUU